CCUCUGUGAUGAACAAACACAGAUGACGAGUCUGAUCGAAAUCCAUUCUUAAACCCGUGAGGACAAAUCGAGGCAUUUGUCUGAGAGGA
rfam:Ipomoea nil DNA, scaffold: scaffold0380, cultivar: Tokyo-kokei standard.